rnacentral:lncRNA from 10 species
AGUGCUGAUCUGAUGCCUGUUCCAGAAACAUCUGUGCCUGACCUUCAAGCUUGUAUUUAUAAAACAGAACUGAACUAGCUGGUAGCAUUUACUCUGGAAUGAAGGAUGGAACUGGUGAUGUCCUGUGCUAUUUUGGGAUUCUGCAGCGUCCCAAAAGCAAGAAGACCCUCACCAGGUGUGGUCCCUCAGCCUUGGAUCCUCACCUCCAUAACUGCAGCUUCAAAGAUCACCAACUGUAAGAAACAGGAAGAGACUUUGAAGUAGAUAACUUCUUGUGUUUUUUUCACAUAUUCCCUGGUGGAAUUUUAGUUUUGUAUCAUGCUUUUCCAAGUUUUUCUCCAGAUGUUGUAUAGUUUUUUGUUUUUGUUUUUUUUUUUUUUUUUCCCGGAAAAGUUUAGACAUCUUGUACACAGACAUCAAGAUCUAAAAACGGAGGCGCCAGCUCUAUUUUACAAAAAUAUCUGAUAGUAUCUUAUUGAAGAAUGUUGGAAUCAUUCAAGCGACUGCUUCUAUCCAGUUUCCACGCUGUCUGAAGAUCCUCCUUGAAAUCCCAUGUAACCUUUAGUAUAAUGCCCACGUUAAGAAAAGUGGGUCAGUGAUUAAAGACAUAUUGAAUCAUGUUUCUGGCUUUUUGUGUUUAUAAAUUAUGUAUAUAAUUAUAAAUAUAGUAUUUAUAUAAAAAUAUAAAUGUAUACAUGUUUAUAUUUAUUAUAAAUUAUUAUAAAUAAUCAGUAAAACAUCAGUGGAC